rnacentral:rRNA from 1 species
UACGGAGGAUGCGAGCGUUAUCCGGAUUUGUUGGGUUUAAAGGGUGCGUAGGCGGAUCGUUAAGUCAGUGGUCAAAUUGAGGGGCUCAACCCCUUCCCGCCAUUGAAACUGGCGAUCUUGAGUGGAAGAGAAGUAUGCGGAAUGCGUGGUGUAGCGGUGAAAUGCAUAGAUAUCACGCAGAACCCCGAUUGCGAAGGCAGCAUGCCGGCUUCCUACUGACGCUGAAGCACGAAAGCGUGGGGAUCGAACAGG